rnacentral:rRNA from 1 species
AAGAUGAGAUUUCCCACAGAGUAAUCUGGUAAGACCCCUGAAAGAUGAUCAGGUUGAUAGGCCGGGAGUGGAAGCAUGGCGACAUGUGGAGCGGACCGGUACUAAUAGGUCGAGGUCUUGACCUUUGAUU